AUGUUUAAAAGACACCGGUUCGUGGUGGUGUCCGUGGGGGAACAAGCCCUGGGGGGACCGACGCUCCCGCUGGCCUCCUGCGGACAGACCUCAGCACCUGCUGGAGCCUCAGGGAGGCUGGGACCUCACCUCGGGGUGAAGCUCUGGCUUCGGCUCCAAAGCUGGGGCAGCGACGAUGGCCGUAAUGCUGCGCCCGUGAGGGCUUCUUGUGCUCUGCCAACGGCCACAGGCUGGUCGGUAAAUCAGAGAGCGUGUCCCGGGGACCGAGACGGUUACAUGAAACUCCACAGGUUGCCAGCGAAAAGAACUUGGACCAGCUGCGUCCCUCGCCUCACCUGGGGAGUCCCCAGGGGGCUGCCCCGGGGGGAGCUGCCAGCCUGGUGGCCGCAGGCUCCGUGUCCCUGCACGCUCCUCGCAGGGCACACACGCCUUUUGGCACGGCGAGGUGGGAGAGGGCGUUACGGCGGAGCUGCCGUUUCCCCAGCCCCAGGCUGGGCUCCUCCGGUGUUCCCCAGCCCCUCCUCUUGCCCCGCUCCCUUUGCGGGACUUUCUACGUGGAAGCGUGGCAGUUCCAGGUGGAAUUACGGGGUUUUGUGCUUAAAUAGUGCCUGUUGUGCUGACACGGUGUGCGGGCAGGCCAGGCAGUGCCACGCCGCUGGUGUCCAGCGUUACCAGGCAGUUGGCCAAUUCCCCCAGUUCAUGGGAUUUGGUUUCUCUGUGGAAAAGGGAUGCCUGGGAAAACCCAGCUCCAUUUGGCAUGGGAAACGUGCUGGCUUACUGCCCUCCUGGCUCAUCCUACCCUUUACCAGUGCAGUGUUCACGUGGCCAUGGCGUGAACCAGAUGGGGAGCUGACCCGGGGCGAAGCUUCCAGCCCAGGGAGCUCCGGCCAGGAGCAACCACCGAGCCGGGCUGGGAGCAGGAGGCUGGGGCUGGCGGCGAGGGCUGGGGAUCGGUCCCCGCAGGGGUGCUGCUCGGGACGUAGCUCGCAUGUGUGUGCAGCUGUGAGCCGAGGAGAACAGGCAGCUGUCAGGAGGUGUGAUGUGCCUGGGCGUGGGGCAGCAUCCCCACCGGGCAGCGCCGGGGGGUCUGCAGGUCACCAACUGCACAGCUCGUGGGUCAGGAAUGAACGGUCCCGUGUUUCCUGA
rnacentral:lncRNA from 1 species